rnacentral:rRNA from 1 species
UACGGGGGGGGCAAGCGUUGUUCGGAAUUACUGGGCGUAAAGGGCGCGUAGGCGGCCUAUUAAGUCGGACGUGAAAUCCCUCGGCUCAACCGGGGAACUGCGUCCGAUACUGGCAGGCUUGAAUCCGGGAGAGGGAUGUGGAAUUCCAGGUGUAGCGGUGAAAUGCGUAGAUAUCUGGAGGAACACCGGUGGCGAAGGCGGCAUCCUGGACAGAUACUGACGCUGAGGCGCGAGAGCGUGGGGAGCAAACAGG